GACGAACGCUGGCGGCGUGCCUAAUACAUGCAAGUAGAACGCUGAAGGAGGAGCUUACUUCUCUGGAUGAGUUGCGAACGGGUGAGUAACGCGUAGGUAACCUGCCUGGUAGCGGGGGAUAACUAUUGGAAACGAUAGCUAAUACCGCAUAAGAGUAGAUGUUGCAUGACAUUUACUUAAAAGGUGCAAUUGCACCACUACCAGAUGGACCUGCGUUGUAUUAGCUAGUUGGUGGGGUAACGGCUUACCAAGGCGACGAUACAUAGCCGACCUGGGAGGGUGAUCGGCCACACUGGGACUGAAGCACGGCCCAGACUCCUACGGGAGGCAGCAGUAGGGAAUCUUCGGCAAUGGACGGAAGUCUGACCGAGCAACGCCGCGUGAGUGAAGAAGGUUUUCGGAUCGUAAAGCUCUGUUGUAAGAGAAGAACGAGUGUGAGAGUGGAAAGUUCACACUGUGACGGUAUCUUACCAGAAAGGGACGGCUAACUACGUGCCAGCCGCCGCCGUAA
rnacentral:rRNA from 1 species